GUCCACGCCGUAAACGAUGAUAACUAGCUGUCGGGGCUCUUAGAGCUUCGGUGGCGCAGCUAACGCAUUAAGUUAUCCGCCUGGGGAGUACGGCCGCAAGGUUAAAACUCAAAGGAAUUGACGGGGACCCGCACAAGCGGUGGAUGAUGUGGAUUAAUUCGAUGCAACGCGAAAAACCUUACCUACCCUUGACAUGUACGGAAGACCGAAGAGAUUUGGUUGUGCUCGAAAGAGAACCGUAACACAGGUGCUGCAUGGCUGUCGU
rnacentral:rRNA from 1 species